AAAUGAAUGAAAGUAUUUUCUUUUUUCAUAAAUUUUUCAAUGAUUUUACAUUAAUCUGCGAUUCGGGAUGGAGGUAAAUCCAACAAAAUAAAUUCAUGAAAAUCAGUCCAGCCGUUCUCCAGAUAUAAGUGAUUAUUGUGUUAUGUAUGUUAAUUUGAAAUAAGAAUUUUUAUGAUGAUUUCACCAAUAGGUAUUAACGCUAUAGUUUGUAAGGAUAAAUAGGUCAGAUGUAUGUAUAUGUUAAUUGAUAGUAAUGCACAAGUUAAAGGUAGUUACUGCAAUAUAUUCCUAUGUCCUCCUAAAUUAUUUCUUUAUUAUUUUUUAUUUAUUUCAGUCAGCAUAAACAUGCAGAUUUUGCGAUCUAGAAACGCCUGCGCAACUCAUUGUACUGUAGUCAUUGAAAAUGCUAAUUAAUAGGAACUGCAGGCGUUUAAAAUUAAUAACGCCUCAACCCGCAGCCGUCCGGACACCCGCAAGCCCAUCGCACAAUUGAAUUAAUUGUCAAGUUUCAAUAAAAUCCAUUUAGUAGAUUUCGUGUAAAAGAGCAACAAACAUACAGACGUCCAUACAUUCUUAAAAACUUUCGUAUUUAUAAUAUUAUACUUCUACUGAUAUGAUACUUCUUUCGAAAGCCAGAAGGUAGGGCUGAGAUUUUUACAGGUCCGGUCAAAUAUGCAUACAUUCUUACAAACGUUCGUAUAUAAGAUAUCAACUUGACAUAAGUUGUUGUGUACUAAGCUAUAUAAGAAACUAUAGUAUUUUAUUUUUCCCACUCGAUAGUUUUCCAGGAUGAAAGGUAUCCAAGAUGUUGCUUGGCAAAAUAAGGUAUCAAAAUGCCCAAUUUUAUUAAAUUAUGUACAUAAUUUAUUGUUUACUAAGUAAUAUAACUUACUUUACUAAUUUUUUUUCCCACGGGAACUCUUUAAUUUUCUGGGAUGAAAGAAAGAUUUUAAUAAAUAAUGUGCAUAAGUUUUUGUGUACUACACUAUAUAAGUAAGUAGAGGUAUUUAACUUUCCCACGGGAACUCUUUAAUUUUCCGGGAUGAAAAGUAUCUAAGAUGUUGACCGGCAAUAUAAGGUAUCAACAUGCCAAAUUAUGUGAAUAUGUUGUUGUACUUCGCUAUAUAAAUCAGUAGAGGCUUUAAACUAUCCCACGGGAACUCUUUAAUUUUCCGGGAUGAAAAGUAUCUAAGAUGUUGAUCGGCAAUAUAAGGUAUCAACAUGCCAAAUUUUAUUAAACUAUGUGCAUGCGUUGUUGUGUACUACGCUAUUUAAGUAAGAAGAGAUUUUCAACUUUCCCACGAGAACUCUUUAAUUUUCCGCGAUAAAAGGUAUCUAAGAUGUUGACCGGGGAUGUAAUGUAUCAUCAUGCAAAAUUUCAAUUAAAUCGGUCCAAUAGUUAUUAGCCCGCACUAGAGAUUAGCCCGUACAAACAGACAAACAGACACAGAAAUAAGAAAUUCCAAAAAAAGGGACUUGUUCUAUUUCUCUUCUUACAUCCCCCUGACUCGCUUUUGAUCAUUUCUUUGUACAGAAAUUUGAUCUAUACAGAUUUAUUAUAAGUAUAUAUAGAUUACAAAUAUUGGAGUACGAAACCAAAACAUCAAAUGUCUAAAUAGUAUGGAUGGGAAUAAGUUCAUUAUAUUCCAUAAUUACAUUUACUCGUUUUGUUUUAAUAU